CUGUUGAUGAAAAGUUAACAGUAUAAUGAUGAUUUAAACAACAACUUUAAAAACAAUUUGUCAUGUUUGCGGCUGUUACUUUUAACAAGCGGUAGGUAGCGCUGCGCUUCUUCCUUUUUUUUUUUCCCGCGCCCCAUGGAGAAAAAAAAAAAUGGCUCGACACUUUUGUGUUUCUUCACGCAGCAACGUGAUCGGCGUGUUUUCGAUGAUCUCGACGCUCAGCAAGAUCCAUUGUGCAGUGUUAAGUUCAGAAAUGUUUUCCUCAUCGUAUGCAGCAGUGAAUUCUCUUGUGCGCUUCGUCGUUUCCGCCCGCUGGAUAUCGACGAUUUUGACAAAGAACUCUACGAAGUCUUGCGGGCUGGCGAGGAAAACGGCAGCACCCACUUACUGCACAUGAGCCAAACUGAGGAAGGGAUGGAGGAGGCGUGAGUCGAACAACCGACGUGUGCAGCGGAAACUCGGCGAUGCUCAACUGGGACCGGGAUCACGAAAAAACACCUUUACCUCGAGGCGAAAAAGUGUCCCCUGCAGGACCUCCAGAAGAAACACCAGUCCCCGUAACGGUACCUUGCACAAGAAUGUGCCAACCUGCACUAUUAA
rnacentral:lncRNA from 1 species